rnacentral:rRNA from 1 species
GCGCAGCAGUCGCGAAUCCUUCGCAAUGCGCGAAAGCGUGACGAGGGGAGUCCGAGUGCCUGUAUCUUUAAGGUGCAGGCUUUCCUUGAGUGUAAAGAGCUCAAGGAAUAAGGGCUGGGCAAGACCGGUGCCAGCCGCCGCGGUAACACCGGCGGCUCUACUGGUAGCCAUGUUUACUGGGCCUAAAGCGUCCGUAGCCGGGUCAGUAAAUCCCGAGUGAAAUCUGUCGGCUUAACCGGCAGGCGUGCUCGGGGACACUGCUGUCCUAGGGACCGGAAGAGGUAGGAGGUAGGCCUCGGGUAGGGGCAAAAUCCGUAUAAUCCGAGGAGGACCACC